UCCUCUCCGCAGUCAUCUGCCACGUGGUGGGGAUCACCUACCAGCACAUCGACCGCUGGCUGCUGGCCGAGAUGCUGGGGGACCUCUCGGACGCCCAGCUCAAAGUGUGGAUGAGCAAGUACGGCUGGACGGAGCCGGAGCCCGGGCGCAUCCUCAUCUGCAACCAGGAGGAGAGCAUCAAGCCCAAGAACAUCGUGGAGAAGAUCGACUUCGACAGUGUCUCCAGCAUCAUGGCGUCGUCGCUGUGACCGUCACCGCUGCCACCGG